rnacentral:rRNA from 1 species
UACGUAGGGGGCAAGCGUUGUUCGGAUUUACUGGGCGUAAAGCGCGUGUAGGCGGCCACGCAGGUCCGUUGUGAAAACUAGAGGCUCAACCUCUAGACGUCGACGGAAACCGUGUGGCUAGAGUCCGGAAGAGGAGAGUGGAAUUCCUGGUGUAGCGGUGAAAUGCGCAGAUAUCAGGAAGAACACCAAUGGCGAAGGCAGCUCUCUGGGACGGUACUGACGCUGAGACGCGAAAGCGUGGGGAGCGAACAGG